CUGGACGUUCAAUUUCUACCGCACUUCCUGAGCGCGGCACGCGGAAUUCAUGGGCAGGUCGGCGCAAACGGUCUUCGUAAGGUUUUGAAGGCUGAAAGCAAUAUGGAGCAAAGAUUUCCCGAGGCCUGUGGACAACAUUGUUUCAACCGACUUAAAAAGUUGAAGCACAAGCUGCCAUCAGUUCACCAAGCAGUUGAAGAGACACUAAUGACUGCCGCAAAGCAGUAUUCAAGCUGAAGUACCAAAGGAGCGGGCUACUUCAGCACACUGUGCCGACCUACAACAACCACUUCGAGAUACUUUUUUGUUGUGGCUGGAGCCAACACUAACAAAACAAGAUAUUCACACUAACAAGAGACAAGGCGGGAGCUACAUAUAUCUAAAUUUAUUUAAUGUUUUGCCCACAAAUAUAUACAUAAAUUGUUUGACAAUUCAUUUUAGUGUGUGUGCAUGCGUUUUCCUGAAGACGUUUAUGGGCGAAGCCUCAAAUAAUAUUAGAUGAUAGUUGCGCCCGUUCUCUAUCCUGUUGUGAAUGUUUUGUGAGAGUGCGCUUCUGCGUGCAUGUUUGUGCGUGCAUUCGCUUGCGUUUUUGGGUUUGGCUGCAUUCGUAUAUGUGUGAGUCAGGAAGCUGCGAGUCAUAAAACUGUUUUUAAGAAAAUAUGUGUUUUUCAUUUUUACUUGCUUUCACAAGUUUGGGUUCUCCAUACUUUGCAACAAA